UGGACUUCUACAAAGAUCACUGCUUUCGGCUCAAAGAUAAACACGUAACUGGAACAGGUCUGCAAAAACGAAGAGGCGGCAAAAGGGGCGAAAGACGAAGAACUGAACUGAUCAUUUCAGAUAUCAUGAAAGCAGAAGCUACUGGGAGUCUGGGAACACUAGAGAUAAACCCUCUGUCCAAUGCAAUUGCCCGCUAUAUGGGUGUUGACCUAUCACCCA